GCUUUAUAUCAUCCUUUUCAGAGUACAUUACCAAAGUAGUUUAUAUAAUAUCUUACCAGAUAUUGUCAGUAGUGAUAUAAAAAUAUGAACAUCUUUUAAAUAUAAUCAUUUUAGUUAAACAGUUUUGAUUUAAUGAGAGCAUCAGAGUAUUAAUGUAACAUAGUGAUUGAUUAUUAAAAGUAUUUGUUGAAAUAUAGUACCUAUCUGGUUAAUGUUAUUAUCAAUAUCACUGCAUUAAAAAAAAAAAUUGUAACCUCCUGUCAUUCUCCCCUGAUGUUAGCCAAGAAUUAAUUUCUUACUGUUCUCUAAAGAGACUUUUAUUUAAUAAAGCCAUGAAUAAUU
rnacentral:lncRNA from 1 species